rnacentral:rRNA from 1 species
GUCUACAGCCAUGCCGCCCUGAACAUACCCAAUCUCAGACGCUAAGCAGGGUUGGGCCUGGUUAGUACUUAGAUGGGAGACCACCUAGUUAGACCUGGUGCUGUAGUUG